rnacentral:rRNA from 1 species
UCGAGAAUUUUUCACAAUGGGGAACCCUGAUGGAGCGACGCCGCGUGGAGGAUGAAGGCCCUCGGGUCGUAAACUCCUGUCAUGCGGGAACAAGAAAGUGAUAGUACCGCAAGAGGAAGAGACGGCUAACUCUGUGCCAGCAGCCGCGGUAAUACAGAGGUCUCAAGCGUUGUUCGGAUUCAUUGGGCGUAAAGGGUGCGUAGGUGGCGAUGUAAGUCUGGUGUGAAAUCUCGGGGCUCAACCCCGAAAUUGCAUCGGAUACUGCGUUGCUUGAGGAUUGUAGAGGAGAGUGGAAUUCAUGGUGUAGCAGUGAAAUGCGUAGAUAUCAUGAGGAAGACCAGUUGCGAAGGCGACUCUCUGGGCAACUCCUGACACUGAGGCACGAAGGCUAGGGGAGCAAACGGGAUUAGAUACCCCAGUAGUCCUG